AUGUUACUAAUAUACAUUACAAAGAUUCUUCUUUUUUUUUUUUUCUCCUCACAUUCGUUCGGAGUACUCUUCAUGAGGAUGGACAGGAGAAGAUCCUGCCUGUGGAUACGGAGGGAAACACUGGAGGGAGAAGUCUAUGCAGUGGAGCUGAGGAAGAUCAGUCACCCACUUCUUGGCAUCCCUUCAGCAUCUAUUCAGGCAGCUCCAUUACCUUCCAUGGAUAGUCUCUUUUUUGGCCCUGGAAAAAGCAGGAAAAAAAAUGGUAUGUCUCCCGCGAUCGUCCCUUCCGCCAGGGCAACCGGAUCAAUAACGCCGGCGCCCGCUCUCCGUCGAUGCCACCUGCGGCCGCGGAGCCGGCCCUGUCACAGCAUCCCUGUGGCAGAGGAAGACCACAGCUGCAUCCCCAGAGGGCUGCGAAAGCCAUCGCCUAAGAACUCUCUGUUGUCUCCCUUGCGUCCUGCAGGCGGUUCCGCCCAGAGACACAGCCUCCUGCAUCCCUAUGGAGAAGAAAGACUGGAGCUGGAAACUCAGGGAUGCUUGCCUUCCUCUGGACACAGGCAGGCGAGCUAAGCUGUGUGGCUGCAGGGGCUGCCCUGGCCCCCAGCUGCUGGAGGAGUCCAGCAGCAUCUGUAAACCCAGACGGAGGCUCUCAGUGUCCCUGGCUCUCUCUGCAUCGGGCCCUCGUGCUGAUGGUGAUGUAGCUUCGCCAGACACUCGGGCAAGAAUCUUUCCCUGGGAUGAGGAUUAACCGUGGCUAUUAGUGCUUGUGCAGGGGGAGCCUCCCCUCCCCUCAGCAGAAGUGCGUGCUUCCUGGGGAUUAGGAGUUAAUGUUUCUGGAACAACAGUGUCGGCUUCUCCAGGUUUGGGGGUCUGUUCCAGGGCUCCCAUGAGCCCCCUGGCUGCGGUUCCACUUGGAUCAGGGUUUGCCAUUAAAUGCAAUGAGGAGCCUGGGCCAUUUAUCACAGUGAAUCCAGUGCCUAAAUCUGGGAGGAAAUGGUCACUGCUCCAAAUCGGAUCUGAGUCUCUCUGCCAGGAACCGAGUCGGGCUCGCUCGGCUGGAUUCUUGGGCUGAGUUGUUAUCCGUUUGUAAAAAUAAAUGCUAUUCAUUUAACUUCUCACUUGGAUCUUAUCCAUGAGGCAAUGAAUUUCACUGGUUUGCGUACUCAUGCACUCACUCACUCAGUGUUUC
rnacentral:lncRNA from 1 species